UGGGCUGUAGCUCAGUGGCAGAGCGCUUGCCUAGCAUGUGUGAGGCACUGGGUUAGAUCCUCAGCACCACAU
rnacentral:tRNA from 1 species